UAGGUAGUUUCAUGUUGUUGGGG
rnacentral:miRNA from 5 species